rnacentral:rRNA from 1 species
GCCCUAGUAACGGCGAGUGAAGCGGCAACAGCUCAAAUUUGAAAUCUGGCCCCCCGGCCCGAGUUGUAAUUUGCAGAGGAUGCUUCGGGCGCGGUGCCUUCCAAGUCCCCUGGAACGGGGCGCCACAGAGGGUGAGAGCCCCGUCAGGUCGGCCACCAAGCCUGUGUGAAGCUCCUUCGACGAGUCGAGUAGUUUGGGAAUGCUGCUCUAAGUGGGAGGUAGACCCCUUCUAAAGCUAAAUACCGGCCAGAGACCGAUAGCGCACAAGUAGAGUGAUCGAAAGAUGAAAAGCACUUUGAAAAGAGGGUUAAAUAGUACGUGAAAUUGUUGAAAGGGAAGCGCUUGUGACCAGACGUGCGCCGGGGUGUUCAGCGGGCGUUCUCGCCCGUGCACUCGCCCCGGCGCAGGCCAGCGUCGGUUCUGGCGGGGGGACAAAGACGACGGGAACGUAGCUCCCCCGGGAGUGUUAUAGCCCGUCGUGCCAUGCCCCCGCCGGGACCGAGGUUCGCGCUCCGCAAGGACGCUGGCGUAAUGGUCCCCAGCGGCCCGUCUUGAAACACGGACCAAGGAGUCGAGGUUUUGCGCGAGUGUUUGGGUGUCAAACCCGCACGCGUAAUGAAAGUGAACGUAGGUGGGAGCUUCGGCGCACCACCGACCGAUCCUGAUGUGCUCGGAUGGAUUUGAGUAGGAGCGCAGGGCCUCGGACCCGAAAGAUGGUGAACUAUACGUGGAUAGGGUGAAGCCAGAGGAAACUCUGGUGGAGGCUCGCAGCGGUUCUGACGUGCAAAUCGAUCGUCAAAUCUGCGUAUGGGGGCGAAAGACUAAUCGAACCAUCUAGUAG